rnacentral:rRNA from 1 species
CGGCACCUCAAGUGGUCAGGAUGAUUAUUGGGCCUAAAGCAUCCGUAGCCGGCUCUGUAAGUUUUCGGUUAAAUCUGUACGCUCAACGUACAGGCUGCCGGGAAUACUGCAAAGCUAGGGAGUGGGAGAGGUAGACGGUACUCGGUAGGAAGGGGUAAAAUCCUUUGAUCUAUUGAUGACCACCUGUGGCGAAGGCGGUCUACCAGAACACGUCCGACGGUGAGGGAUGAAAGCUGGGGGAGCAAACCGGAUUAGAGACCCGAGUAGUCC